GUAUGCUUUGCGAGGAGAGCUGAGCCGGGAAAAGUCGCCCAGAGAUAGGAAAGUGUAGAGAAAUGCAUCUCCUUGUUUCGGUGGGUAAAUUCAAGAUCGUUUGGAAACCAUUCUUUUAGACGCAGGUUGGCGGAGACAAAAGACGGUGGUAGGUAGCGGUUAGAGUUCCUGACUAGGAAUCUUAGAGGUGAAGGGUUGGAAUCCACACGGCCAGGAAAUUUAUUGGAUGACCUUCCACCCCACUCACUGUUUCUCUUAGCUUUACCUACCUCACAAGGUUGCUGUGAGGAUAACAAAGAAGAGUGGAUAGAGCCAUUUGGAGCUCCUUGGAGAAAAAAGAAUUGGCCAGGUUUGACAGACCUGUAUGGUGAUUCAGGAGCAGGAAUACUUCAGCACCCACUUACAGCCAAAUGGCAAUGGCACUCACCUGAGAGGUAUCGGAGCUGAGCUCCAGUGAGCACUCUCUGGGGAAAAAAAGCCCUGUGUUCCAGUCAUGGCAAAGAGGGUCGUCUAGCAAGAACAUUUGGAUAUGUGGGCACAGUAUUGUGCAUUGGGCACAGAUGCACUCCAUCACCACUGGCUUGGGAGCUGCACUCAGCCUCCCAAUGGGAUUCAUUGGCUGGGCUGCCACGGCAUGAAAUAGCAAGAGUUUAUGCACUUGAUCAUGGCGAGAAUCGAGUCACAAGGGCUCCCGUACACCUUCAUCAUCCAUUUGGGGGGAAACGAUUUGGGCCAACGCAAGGGAAUUGACUUAACGUGGGCUAUAAUCAAAGACUUGCAGAUGCUGCACAACUUGUACUCCACCAUAUGCCUUGGCUGGUCCAAUAUGCUUGAGUGGCAUCAGUGGCGCAACCCUGACCCAGUGGGAAUCAACUGUACAAUUAAAGUAGGAAGUAAAAACUCUGCUGGAUGAAGUACAAUUGCCUCUGGUCUAUUUUUGGGAACUCUGCCACGUGUUUGAGUUUUUUCCUCCCCAGAAGAAGCUGGGGUGACACCCAGGUCCUUCUGCAUGGAAGGCAAGAGCUACGGCCCUUCAGUACAAAGAUGCUCUGGCCACUUUUGCCUCUGGCCACACCCACUUUUGUGUGACUGACUGCAGAGAAACCACAAAGAACAGAGAAUUCCUUUAAGAUUAUUCAAGCUAUAAUGGCAACUUGUUUUUUCUCUUCUUCUUUGCAUUUUACAUAUCAUCCAUUUUUGCAAUUGUGAUUGUGUUAACUGUCUUGCAGUGUCAUGAAAGAUGGCAUAUAAAUUUGCCAAUUAAAAAUAAAUAGAUUAAAAUAAAAUUGAACACA